GUGCUCACUUUGGCAGCACAUAUACUGGGAUUGGGAUGAUGCAGAGAAGAUUAACAUGGUCCCUGCACAAGGAUGACAUGCAAAUUUGUGAAGCAUUCCAUAUUAAA
rnacentral:snRNA from 1 species